rnacentral:rRNA from 1 species
UACGUAGGAGGCAAGCGUUGCUCGGAAUCACUGGGCGUAAAGGGUGCGUAGGCGGGUCUUUUAAGUCAGGGGUGAAAUCCUGGAGCUCAACUCCAGAACUGCCUUUGAUACUGAGGAUCUUGAGUUCGGGAGAGGUGAGUGGAACUGCGAGUGUAGAGGUGAAAUUCGUAGAUAUUCGCAAGAACACCAGUGGCGAAGGCGGCUCACUGGCCCGAUACUGACGCUGAGGCACGAAAGCGUGGGGAGCAAACAGGG